AUUGAACGCUGGCGGCAGGCCUAACACAUGCAAGUCGAACGAGAGGCGGACGGGUGAGUAAUGUCUGGGAAACUGCCUGAUGGAGGGGGAUAACUACUGGAAACGGUAGCUAAUACCGCAUACCAUCAGAUGUGCCCAGAUGGGAUUAGCUAGUAGGGGGGGUAAUGGCUCACGUAGGCGACGAUCCCUAGCUGGUCUGAGAGGAUGACUAGCUACACGGGAACAGAGACACGGCCCAGACUCUGACGAGAGGCAGCAGUGGAGAAUAUUGCACAAUGGGCGCAAGGCUGAUGCAGCCAUGCCGCGUGUGUGCAGAAGGCCUUCGGGUUGUAAAGCACUGUCAGCGAGGAGGCGUUACUCGCAGAAGAAGCACCGGCUAACUCCGUGCCAGCAGCCGCGGUAAUAC
rnacentral:rRNA from 1 species